rnacentral:misc_RNA from 1 species
UCCGAGUUGACCCCGGCAGUCUCCUACGAGUCCCCGGCAUAACCCGCUGGCAACAUAGGACAAGGGUUGCGCUCGUUGCGGGACUUAACCCAACACCUCACGGCACGAGCUGACGACAGCCAUGCAGCACCUGUACAGAUUCGCCUUGCGGCACGGGAACUUUCAUUCCCCUUAAUCUGCAUGUCAAGCCCAGGUAAGGUUUUUCGCGUUGCAUCGAAUUAAUCCACAUAAUCCACCGCUUGUGCGGGUCCCCGUCAAUUCCUUUGAGUUUUAACCUUGCGGCCGUACUCCCCAGGCGGUCGACUUCACGCGUUAGCUUCGUUACUGAGAGUGUCAAACCCCCAACAACCAGUCGACAUCGUUUAGGGCGUGGACUGC